GUAUCGCCUAGAGCKUAUUGUUGGUUUUCUGUAUUGGAUMCCUAAUCGARGGUAUUAUUUUGAUCRAUUGGAGUCCYUUUUCGUCUUGUGUUGCAUUCUGUGUCGCAUGAUGAACUUUGAAGCGGUCUCUAUGAUCCAUCACGUUGAUGCACUUGCAUUGAUGUUGUGGCCCAUUGAGCUUUGUUUGGUUUCUUGGAUAUGGAACAUGAAGUGGGCAUGGGGCUGUCAUGAUCCUCUUUUUGCCCUCGUAUGGUGUUCUCGAACGACGGGUCAUGCGCGCCUAGGCUCGUACCUGCGUGAUGAUCUAUGUCAAAGAGGAUGCUACCUGGUUGAUCCUGCCACUAGUC
rnacentral:misc_RNA from 1 species